UUAGUGGGGGAACUCAAGAUUUUACAUAGGAUUUUUCUAUCCUUUCCACUUUUGAUUCAGAUCCCUGUAUGAACCACGUGAUAAGAAUAUGCUCUGCUUGGCUUUAAGAAGACAGGCACCUCUAGUUCUAUACCAGAGGACCCAGAUUGCUGCUUGCUCUGAGAAGCUCAGCUGUAAAUUUUCCAUUUCCAUUUUUCCAGCUUUGUGGCUGUAUUUGCCUGUGCCCUGGUUUGUCCUUGGAAGACAGAGCAUAUGUAUGAAGCAAGCGUGUUGUAAUGGGACAUGUAGGUGCAGCUGUUACAAAGAGAACAGUUUUUGAGAGCUUAUCAUUCACAGUGGAAGACUCAUGUUCCUGAGCAAUGCCUGGUCUGAAGGAUCUUUGACAUUUUUCCUGCAGUUGCUUUUUAAGAUUUUUCUUUUACCUAGAUUGCUUGUGCUUGAUAUGGAAUGUCUGCAUGGGUUUGUUCCAUCUAGAUCACUAUCCCAGUCUGUCAUGUGCCAGGGCAAAGACUGUACUGUAUUUUUCCAAAAUAUUAUUUCCUGCCUACUUCUGUCCUUGUACUACUGGAUCCAAUUCCGCCUGACAGCUGUGAUGUCAAUGACAUCACCCCAGGAAAGUCUCUAUUGCUUUGAGUUCUUCAUUACUGGAUUAAGAAUAAUGGCCGUUUGAUUAAGAACAAUGAAUAUUUUUAGUUUCAUUAUGGCAGUAAGUGCUGCUUCUGUAGUUUCUGUUCUCCUUUACUUUCUAAUUUUUUGUGCAGUUUCCCAUAUAUUUGCUGAAGGCUUCAAAGAGUAUUUUUCACAAAGAAUGGCUUCCAACCUAAUUUCCCCUUCCCAAAGAAAAAUUCCUUUCUUCUGGCAUGAAUUAAUUAAAUACUAACCAAUUACAAGAGUCACUGAUGUUUUGGAAAAAAUCCAUGAAAUCAGAAACAGGAAAAUUGUGCCUGUUUUUGAUUCCUUGGAUAGCUCUGAGAAGCAUUUCUUUUUUCAUAUUUUAUUAGACAGAAAAAAGCUGAAAUAAACGAAGUGGAAUAGGUUGACUUAUCAGAUGUACCAAGUCUAAAAUAAAGAUCUUACCAUCUUCUUUGUA